rnacentral:rRNA from 1 species
GACAGAGGGUGCAAACGUUGUUCGGAAUUACUGGGCGUAAAGCGCGUGUAGGCUGCUUGGAAAGUCGGAUGUGAAAGCCCUGGGCUUAACCUAGGAAGUGCAUUCGAAACUUCUGAGCUGGAGUUCUGGAGAGGAAGGCGGAAUUCUCGGUGUAGAGGUGAAAUUCGUAGAUAUCGAGAGGAACACCGGUGGCGAAGGCGGCCUUCUGGACAGUGACGUGACGCUGAGACGGCGAAAGCGUGGGGAGCAAACAGGG